rnacentral:rRNA from 1 species
AUUGAACGCUGGCGGCAGGCCUAACACAUGCAAGUCGAGCGGAUGAAGGGAGCUUGCUCCUGGAUUCAGCGGCGGACGGGUGAGUAAUGCCUAGGAAUCUGCCUGGUAGUUGGGGAUAACGUCCGGAAACGGGCGCUAAUACCGCAUACGUCCUGAUGUAGAAAGUGGGGGAUCUUCGGACCUCACGCUUCCAGCUGAGCCUAGGUCGGAUUAGCUAGUUGGUUGGGUAAAGGCCUACCAAGGCGACGAUCCGUAACUGGUCUGAGAGGAUGAUCAGUCACACUGGAACUGAGACACGGUCCAGACUCCUACGGGAGGCAGCAGUGGGGAAUAUUGGACAAUGGGCGAAAGCCUGAUCCAGCCAUGCCGCGUGUGUGAAGAAGGUCUUCGGAUUGUAAAGCACUUUUAGUUGGGAGGAAGGGCAGUAAGUUAAUACCUUGCUGUUUUGACGUUACCAACAGAAUAAGCACCGGCUAACUUCGUG